rnacentral:rRNA from 1 species
CACCGGCGGCUCGAGUGGUGGCCACUUUUAUUGGGUCUAAAGCGUCCGUAGCCGGCUUGGCAAAUCCCCUGGGAAAUCUGGCGGCUUAACCGUCAGGCGUCCAGAGGAUACUGCCAGGCUUGGGACCGGGAGAGGUGAGAGGUACCUCAGGGGUAGGGGUGAAAUCUUGUGAUCCCUGAGGGACCACCAGUGGCGAAGGCGUCUCACUAGAACGGGUCCGACGGUCAGGGACGAAAGCUGGGGGCACGAACCGG